rnacentral:lncRNA from 1 species
UGAUAAAUUCCUACAGGCUCAUAGUACUUUUUUUAGGAAGUUGCAAACUGAGUAUGUUCCAGGAAGUGUAACAUAACUUAUGAAUACGCAUGCAUUCAUAAAGCAAAUCACAUAAUUAUAUUUGAAUCUGAGUUUACAUCUUUAAGGACAUGUGUACAUAGUAGGGAAGAAGGUAGAUAACAACGAAGAGCAUUAUCUUCCAUCCUUUUCAACAACAACAAAAAAAAAAAUCUUCCAUCCAAGCUGGGCAGUGACUGGUCAAGAAUCUUAAGCUAUCAAGGUGCUAGCAUUCAUCAUCCAGUGGUUCUCAAGUUUAGCAUGAAGCUCACAGAUACAAGUUUGUAGUGUUUUGUGUCAUGGAAUAACCAAUGGAGAACGAUCAGAUAUAUAGGAAAGGCUUGCUUGACACAAAUUGUUUACAAGAUUCGAAAAGAAUCACUUGCUUAGCUUGUUGAAGACUAGUUUUUUUUUUUACACGGGUAUUUAGCUAGAAGUUGCCGCAACACUAGCUUAGCUGAGUAACUGCAGAACAACCAGCAAGGAACCUUUGUCGCAUGGGAUGACAAGGAUCAAACAGUAGAGCAAUGUCGUAUGGGAUGACAAUGAUAAUAAUGCUGGUGAGAACUAUUUAUCCUAAAUUGCUCUGUCUGGAAUUUUAUGUAACUGCAAACUGACGCCCAUCUAUACUGGGACAGAAGAACAGGGCGGAGAAAUUUUUACAAGGCAAAUGAGCUGGCCACAGCUCACUCCCACCUAUACUUGCAAACAGGAAUUGAAUCCGGGCUCCAAGCUCCAAGUGUGCACACACCACGCCCUCGCCAACCAGACUAUCUGGUGGUUCCUAAUUUACAAUUUCACGAUAUAUUAAUCGUUUCUCGAGCUGUAUAUAUAAUCUUUUCAAAAAUACGAAGUCAGGAAUCACCAUGAACAACAAAAAUAGCACAGUGCACUUGAUUAUCAAUACAGAUGCCAGGCAACUAAGAUGAAGGACGUCACACCAUCGGCUACUCUCAUUACUAGAUGACCCGUUGCGCCAAUGGCGCAAAGGACAAGAGCAAGCCAAGUAUUGAAAGAGUACACACAAAAAUAUUUAGAGACAGAUUGAAACAUGUGGAAAUAAAAAUUGUUGCUGGCAAUGUCAUGAUUUUCUCUAACCAGUAUAAACAUACAUAAAUAGUCUUCUGAAAAUAUUAGUAGAAGGGCAGUUGAUUACUUAUAUAGAACAAGUGAUCACAAACUUCCCCACAGAGACAGUAAUGAGGUCUAAAGUGUACACGAGUGGAAAUGUAAAGGCUAUACAUAUCUUGCUCAGAGCAAAGCCAAAAGGGGAAAGAUACUGGAUCGAUUGAUACGAAAUAAAAGGUGGCUGCUGUUGGUUAGGACAUAUAGACUCAAGGUCACCAGAAACUAUCUUAUGUAGUAUUCAGGCACUGCUCUGACUUCAUGCCAAUAUAGCGUAACCUCUGCGUCAAUUCUUCAAUGCUUGCAUUAGCUACUACUUCAGUUCUUUUGAUAAAAUGGUUUUUACACCAGUAGCAGCACCCCUAAGAUUAGCAAGUUUCCAGCAAAAGGAUCACAUGAGAAUCACAUAUCUGCCUCCUAUAUGAAGAGAAACAGAAACCCAACAAGAUGAUAUAAAGAAACAGAGGUAUCAAAACUGUAAUUGCUAUAAGAAAAGAAGCUUGAUUGCACAAGGUUUUUUAUUGCUAUAAGAACAGAAGCUUGGUUACAGUGUGAUAAAAAUAACAAGCACAUAAGAUUGGAACAGCAAAUAGAACACAACAUAAAUAAGCAGUAGAUAUACCAAAUCUUAAUACGUAGCUAAUUUAACUAUAUGGCUAAUUAGUUUGCAUGUACGAAGCAAGUUACUUUUGAUGCAACAGGAAGAGUUGCCUGUAUAUGCUAACAGGAAAAAAAUAAAAUGUAUAUUAGAUUUUGAAGGUAAAAUGAUGUUUUAUUGGGCCUAUGAUCAAUUUGAAUAUAGCUGUGGCAGAAAAGAUAGUUUGAUCAAAUGGCAUAACAUGCAUCGUGUGAAGAAGAAAGCAUUUUUGAGAGCCACAGAGAAGGAUGCUUUGGUUGUCAAAGAAGACAAGGUAAAGGAUGAACAAGAGGCGGCACGCCAUAUCUUAUGUUGAACUGGUUGGAUGUAACAGACUAUGAGUCUUUACCUCUUGGCUUUAGCCUGUUCAGCAAGAAUGUUCUUUGGCUCUUCGUAGCUGCAGCUUCAGUUUCCUGACCAACCUGUUUAGUUUGCUGCUAUUAAAUAUCAUUGUACAGGAAGCAUGGUUUGUGCAAAAGAGGAAAGUUAUUUGCAUAUAAAACAUAGGCAUGGACACUUGACACAGCUUAGGUACUCUCUCACUGGUACGCACUAUAGAUAGAACACACUCGUAUAUUUUUCAGCUACUUGGUUCGUUGGUGUUAGAAUUGCUCUUUCUUUUAGAUAAUCAACGUCAGAAUGUCUAGUAGGAACAUCUUUGUAUACAGCCUGAACAAUGGCAUCGAUUUUGUCACCAUUAGUGUGUAUUAAAAGCUCAUCAGGGAUGGUUAUCCAAGAUGGAUCCGACUCCCCCUCACGGGCAACAGCAGGCAACACGAAAUUGAUGAACAACAACAAGAUUCAGACAAACAAGCAGAAGCAUUAAAGCAGUUGACAGGAGCAUUAAAGCAUAUAUUAUUUUAACAUUGUGGAAAUUGCGCAUAAGGCCUGAAGACCAUAGUUAAAAAAGGCGCGCCUAAGUGAGCGCUUAAGCGCGCCUAGGCUCCAGGCGUUGGAAAAACGCAUUGCGCAUAACUACGUUUAAUCUAUGCAUAACUGCGCAUAAGCAUGCGCUUUGGUGAGUAAAGCACAAGGCAGUGGCAAAAUGCACAAUUAACGCCUAACGCUUUUUUGAACUAUGCUGAAGACUGAAUCAAUUCAGCAUUAUUGGUCAACUCCUACCGUUGGUAUAUUUUAAAAAAUUUCAAUACAUCUGGUCUCGGCAGCUUAUAUACCAGUUAAAAAGCAUGAUCCAUUAUGGUCUUAGUAGUAAGCAACUCGGAUAGAAGCAUAGGCUAAUGUGAGGCAGUUACACAUACCGCAAAAGCAUCCUAAAGACGGAUGUUUUUCACGCAAGCUAUAUUAGUAGAGAAACUAUUGCUCAGCUUUGUAAAUCGUAACCAUAAAAAGGAAAAAGAAGCCUAUGAAAAAUUGCAUAGCAGCACAUAUUAACAGAAGGAAAAUCAGACUAAAAUAUAAAAUCCUAUAACUUAGUCCUAGAAUCCUUUCGUCAUUUGGGGGGAUGUAUAGCAUGGAACUGUAGUCUCGAGAGCCUGAUCAGUAUGAAAUCUUUCAACUAUUUUGUUACCCGUGUCAAUAUCCCUCAGUUCCAGCGGCAGCAAUCAAGAGUCAAGAAUAAAUCAAAUUGGUAAUUAAACAAAUGACAAAUUUAAGCUCCAGUUAAGUCAAGCAUAUAAAAAAAUGCCCCUGAACUUAAUAUUGGUCAUUUGGGGGGAUGUAUAGCAUGGAAUUGCAGAUAUGCCAAUGGGGAGUUGUAAUUCAGAGCAUCUAUGAAUAAAGAGUGUGCAGUAAGAAAUGAAAGCACUAUGUAUACUCAGGGUCGCCGGAGACAUGCAUUGAAGGAAAUAUGUGCAUUAUACCACCAUAUUUCUUGGCUGACUCAACCAAGUCACAUACUUUCUCCUGCUACCGACGUCUGUGUUCCUACAAGGGGAAGAAAAACGUUCAACUAUUACCACUCCACUUUCAGUAUAUAUACGGUGCCAACAGCUUGGCAUAGAACCUAAUGUUUUUCUGUGAGUUCAUGGAUCGGCCAUUGGGAGAAUAUUACAAGGUGGAGGCAGAAGGAGAAUAAUCAAAUAGCAAGACUGUACAAGAAAAUAAGCUGCAACUUGCAACUCAUCAAAUUUUAUUUAAAUUUACAGGUCAUAUUAGAUGCAUAGGAAGCACAGGUAAAUACAGAUGUUCAGCUUCAAGCCACUCAUCACAUAUAGGGGACCUCCCUUGCUAUGCCCAGACCAACAAAAAAUGAACUGUCAAUACGACUGGACUGACGAAAUGAACUAUUGAAAGGGAAACCUACUAUUUUUUUGCAGAAAAUUUUCAAUUUGACAAUGCAAAAAGUAGUAAACACCACAAGAUGUGAGAUUUUUUCCCGUUCCUCAAUCAAUAGCAUCUUCAACAUCGAGAGUAACGAUCAACAACCAGCUCAUGUUGCAAAUAUAUUUCAAUUGAACAAAGCAGGCUACAUCCAGCAAUAACUUGACCUAAGUUUCUACUCUUGACCUUUUAUAGUGCUCGUUUAUGCCAUGAACAAUAAGGAGUGGAAAUUAAUAUAUGCCGAACCAAUAUUUCGGAAUUUGUAAAGGCCAAGUAAUUCAACAACCUAAUGUUUCCUGGUGAGACACACCAUUCAUCCAUAGCAGGUUAGGCAAGCAAGCUUAGUCUAACCUACUGCAAUGGCUGCUGCUGUACCACGAGUGUCGGGGAAGACGUCUAGGGAAGAAGGCGGCGGCGCGAGAGGCCGUACAACGAAGAGUUGACGAGCAGUGGAGACUGGAGAUGCUAAACGGCGCAGACUCGAAUGGGGCUCGAGGAAGGGGAGGAUUGGUCCUUUGUGCGCUAGGUUUUCGGGACGCAUUAGUGCCUUUCGUGCUGGACAAAAUAACUUGCAAUCAAAAUAUGUAUAACUUUACUCGAGGAAGGGGAGGAUUGGUCCUUUUUGCUCAUAUUUGGUACGUUUAGUCGGCAAACCUUUCAGAAAUCGUAUCUGAAAGAGACUGCUACCAUGUUUUGCUUGUUAUCGCAAAGAAUUCAAUCCAUAGUAUGCCAAGAAUCUAUGAAAAAAUUGCAAUUGCUCCGAAGAAUAUAAUACAUUGCAGAAAUAAAAUACUCUAUCAGAGAGAUGGCACGCGAGGUAGUAGGGACAAGAGCAAGAACUAACUUUGAGAGGAGAUGGGCAGACUCUUGCGUCGUGCUCUGGCUGACCCCUACGCUUACGCUAUGCCUCAUGUAUCCAUUCCUCGUUCCUCUGUGCUGUGAUAGAAAUUCAGAAUGACAAAUAAAAGUAUUCUUAGAUUGCAGCCUUAAUGUAUUACCCUUUAGUAGAUGCACAUUUGAUUGAUUGAUUCCGAAGGAAGAAGAUGGGAAAUAUGCAUAUAGCAAGGAAUAGUAAACAGAUGUUCUUUCAAACUUGCACAGCUAUUUGUUUUUUCUGUAAACAUGCCAAUCUACUGCCAUCUCGCUGGCCUUAAUUUCUUACCUUUUCAUAGAUGGAAAUUUGAUUUUGAGCAAGUAGAGAAGCAAUAUACGAUAGCAUACAUCAAGAAAUAGUAGAUGAAUAUUCUUUUCAGCCUUAAUUCUUUUCAGCAUAUAUAUAACCAUUGAUUUUUCCUGUAAAUACACUGAUGUACUACCAUCUCAUUGCAAAUUAUGUAUUGUGCCAAGGAAAAAUCAUUUUACUUUCGAGCAUAUAUAUACGAUCAUACGGUAGUCACACGUAUAAGCAGCACCACAAAAACAAACACGACACCCGGAAAAACCAGGAAUACAAAGGAAUUAACGCGAUAAUAAGCAGUAAACAAAUAGGGUAGAAAAUUGCAGCGCUUAGGGAAGAAGGACAAGGACAAACCUAAAAAACUAUCAAAAGGGGUGAAACAAUAACCUGAGAGGGUGAGGAGGCAUGGUGCAGAUUUGGUUCUCUGAAAUAAAGCAUUAGCAAUUAACAAAAAAAAUUCAUCACACAUGGCCAGAGAUAUGAAUGACCAACCUAUUAAAAUCUCCUUCUUAAAGCUUGCAAUCCAGUAAUAUAGGUAGCAACGAUGUAUUCCCGGGCACAUUGAGGGAGGAAAGGAGAAACACAUGGUCUGUGAGGAGAACGAACAACUACAGUCAUGAAGGACCAACGGAUCUGACACGUACCUCAACCAGCUUGCCGGCGGCGCCGCCUCCAUCACGAAUCACGACGGCCUCCUCCAUCUCCCCAGCAGCUCAAGCCCACCGCGACCAACCCGUUGCUCCCUGUCCUCGGCACCUAUCUCCCCUGCCCCUUGCAACUUAUGGCGGCAUUUAGAAAGGAAGUACACAUUGCAAGAUAUAAGUGGAGCAAAGGUAUCAUCGUAUAAGCACAAACAUGCUGCAAGAUGGCACUAACCCAGGAAAGAAUUUUUUAUAUUUAAAAUCAUGAAGAAUCAUAGCAACUAUUUUUCUUUCGUAGCCCGGAAAAUCCUGUAGCAUCAGAAGCAUAAGAUUGGGCUGUUGUGCUGGUUCAAACAGACAAUAUAUAUGUAUGUGUUACACCUAAAAGCAGCUAUCCAUAUUACAGAGAUCAAAAUACUAUUAAAUAUACAAUGCAACCAAAUGAUACUACAAUAUGCUUGGCGGCACUAUAUCUUACCAUUGUAAUUCAGACUUGGUUUCAAAACAGUUUUCCCUACAGCAAAGCAGCAGUCUGGUCGAUGAACCACACACUCGGAAGAUAGCAAGAAUGAGUCUCACAAUUGAGAGCAGUUCUCCAUAUGUCAUCUACCAGAGCUACAAGGACGGUUAAGAGAAUAUACUGGUCUAGAAAUAAUGCAAAGAGGGGUCAUGAAGAAGGUAUCUAUCAGCAGUGAAAACUGAACCCGACAACUAUUUUAUUGUGAGUUGUACUAUAUAUGUAUUUUUAAUAUUCCUGUUAAUACAAACCAAGGAAAGUGUGUAUACUCAGAUUUAAAUUGUAAACUAAAAGCUGGAACGAUAUGAGCUAAAACUAAAUAAGGAACAUGAGAUGUCACAUGUGUGAAGCUAGCACGUGUUAAACGGUUGAUACCAACAGGCAACAGCCAAAGUACUAUGCAGUGUUAUUUGUACUUGGUAAAGAAGUUAGGCCCUGUUUGGUAGCUCAGUAUUUUCUAUGUAUUUUAAAUAUACUAUAGUUUUUAGGAAUACCAUGGUUUUAAUUACUGUGACCUGUUUGACAACCACAAAGAACUGUAGCAUUAAUACUGCAGUUUUCCCAAAAACAUGGUAUUUUCUCUGCAUAUAAAAAAGAACCUCCGACCUCUUUUUUCUAAACCGAGAACAAGAAAAGAACGAGUGUUAUCUCCCAACCAACCAGUCACUGACUCACUGCUGCCUGUCGUCUUGGUCUGUGACCAUGGACAAAUCAAAGAACGACAAAGGAGAGGAAAACGGCUAGUAGUUUAGCAAUUCAGCAGUGGAGUAAUCUAGCAAUUCAGCAGCACCCGAGUUUUCGCGACCUCGAUUUCUUCUUCCACCAUCAAGAAAGCCUUGACACAAACGUGUUCACGUUUAACAAAACCCUAUUAAUAGAAAUAUUCCAAAUUAAGGAAAAGUAAUCAUGGUAAAAUCUUAAUGCAUGAACAAUUUGAGAUGUUGAGCAUACUGUUUGCUUCUCAAAGAGUGUGCCAAGAUUGAUGCUUUGGGGAUAGAAAUCAACUCGAAUGCAGCAACUACUAUCAGACUUUCUUCACGUCUCUCGACAACAAGCUGUGCUGGGUCCUCGAUCGUAGCAAACAAUGUUACCAAGUCCAUCCACCACAUUAGGACACAUACUGAGAUAAAAGGGUAAGAAGAUACUUGCCCUUUCCAUGGCGUAGGCAGCAUCAGUUAGCAUGGUGGAGCUGUGCCAUAGGGAGGGUGCUGGAUCGGAGACCCGUGAGGCUAUUCGUGAGCUGGGUGGACUGGCAGCUCGCGUCGGCAUGGAAGCAAGCAAUGCUUCGCGGGCGUCUCGCCGUGCCGCGGACGUGGCCUUGACGAAUCCGCUGAGCAUUAAUUUUUCCAUGACCAUGAAAAGAUAAACAUGAAGGUCAGGCAUAGGCUAUAGUUGGAUGCAUAUAAAGGACGAUGCCUAACAAAGAUCUAGUACACUUUGUUCUGAACCUAAUCGAUUGGUGAGCCGGUCAUUACUGAUCCAAACUGAAGGUAUGACAUUACAGAAGCAUAAAUUCAGAAAUCGAAGAACUCAAAUGUAUUUGUUCAGUUCAAGGAAUGUGCGAGUUAAAAUAGACUGCUCCUAACGAAGUUGUUGGUCCCACUUCUACCAUCACACAUACAUAUGCCGAUUCAGCGCAAAUAGAAGGCAAUCCCAGCAUAUGCAAACCCAAAACGUAAAGAAUCAAAUCUAGUACAGAGAGAAGGAUACUCGCUGGGAGUCGUCAUCGUGCACCAUCUAUAGCCGCCGUCACCCACCUGCCGAGGCCUCCAUCCGCUGCAUGACUGCGCGAAUUGCCUCCUAUUUUGCCACAGCAAGGAGGAACCAGGUGCAGAUGUCGUCACCCACCCGUUGAGGCCGCCAUCCUGUUAGGCGAUGGCAAGGAGGAAAAGGUGAAGCGCACACAGGAGGCUGAGUGUUUUGGUGUGAAAAAAAAAACAGAGAUAAUGAGAGAUGUGGAAUGGAUCUCACCGCCUUAAACUUGAGCUCGUGGACCAUCCGUCCUCUGCUGCUCCGCCUUGCCUUGACCACCUCGAGCACCCCCUGUCUUCGUCCUCUCACCUCUCGAGCAGAUCCAUGACCAUCUCCUUCCCCUCCCACCUCAGCCCUCCUUACCCUCAACUACACAGACUCGGCUACAUCCCCUCCUCGGUGACCUGGAGCGAGGGCCUACGAGAUGAGCGGCACCCAGCCGCCGGGAUCUGCCUCCCCUGUGCGAUUUGACCCGGGGUGGGCAGCGCGCUGCAGUUGUUUGCCGGAGCGGGCGCCCCCGUCCUCGCCGCCGCCGCCGCCCACGUUGUGCUCCUCGCCCGAGGACGGUCAGGACUUCCUCCAGCACGAGAUGCCCCCGAUGGACACGCUCGCCGGCAUCGCCGAGAAGUAGGCGGCUGCCGGAGCGGGUGCCCCCGUCAUCGCCGCCGCCGCCGCCCACGUCCUGCUCCUCGCCCGAGGACGGCCAGGACUUCCUCCAACACGAGGUGCCCCCGAUGGACACGCUCGCCGGCAUCGCCGAGAAGGAGGCGGCGGCGGCCAGAAGGAAUGAGGGGGUCGGGGAGGAGGCGGGGAUUGGGGAGGUCGAGGGAAAGAGAAGGCAAGGGAUCCAGGAAAGAGGCUACGCACUAUUUCAUUCUCUCCAUCGCACGGACCCUCGGCCACAGGCCCGCCCAUCAGCGACACAGGCUAGGCAAGGAGCGAGGUGAAAACGGACGGGAUUUCCAAAGGUUGGACGCGUGGAUAGCUUGAGAAUGGCUGCCACCCUUUCAUCAUUUAUAUGUUCAAUACUCAAAUGAAAUGCUUUGCGUACAGCUCACUGUUACACUUCUUUUAUGAUGACUAUCUAUGGUGUGGUACACAGGUUUUGUACUAUGCUACUGACACAACAAAAAUGUUAAAAAUAAUAAUUAUCAAUUGGCAAGAUCCAUUAUUUCACAGAUACACAUAACCAUCAAAGGAGUUAAGUAUCAUCCUCUAUCCUGUAACCAUACCAUUGUACAGAAAGAGUGUUUGUCCACAGCUUCUACCGAGAAAGGCUUUCGCCCCGCUUUAUAUAUAAAGCCCGAUCAUCAAUUACCCAGUACAAAAACACACGCCACCACAACACACACACACCCAGAGCAGGAUACAUAGGCGCUGAGCGCAGCAACACCACCCCUAGCACUACCACCGCGAAGAGAUGAAGCCACAUACGACAAACCAUGGGCUCCAAGGCGGCGCCUUCAGGAAGGGAACGACACCGGAGCGCCGCCACCGCCCUACCCGAGGAUCAAAGUUUCCUCUCGAGCCACAUGACGGGCAAUGAGAGCCGCGACGACGCCUUCAAGAAGGGAACGAGCUUCGCCGCCGCCGGUCCGUCCAAAGAAAGAACAGGUUUUCACCCCGGCCAACACUCACCGCCACCCAACACCACACCCCGGCUACCAUGCCGCCCACACGGCCAUGGCCACCGGGCAGCACCAAGCCACGGGCUCUGCCCAAGAGCACCACGUUACCACCAGCAGGGCCGCCGCCCCGGCAUCCAAGACCUUGACACCGCCUCACCCGAGACCCGCCGCUACCCCAACCAAAGAGACGAGCGGAAAGGUCCCACUUUUCGCACCCCUGGGCGAUCCCCAGCAUCGAGACCCAAUAGGCCGGCCAGAACUGGCAUCCAUCGGCCCGUCCUGCAGCCCCGAACGCGAGACGAGCUCGGUCCUGCAGCACCGUGAGGGGGAAGAGGUCAGUCCUGCUGCACCGUGCGCGAGACGAGCUCGGUCCUGCCGCACCGGGUGCGAGACGAGCGAUGGACCAAAGCUGGGAGAGGGCCAGCCCUUUGAUGGAAGUAGUGCCCGGACGACAAGGAGAUGGGACGAAGGUCGAAACGGUCCGAUCGCGGACGAGCAGAAGCCGGAGAAGCCGGCCGCUGCCGCAGUCAGAGCCACCGAGCCACUGUGAAUCCGCCACGACACCAGGAGGCCACCACCAGCCGGACCUCCCUUCGCUGCCGCCCACGGCCAGAGCAACGGCCACGCCUGGCCGCUGCCCACCCGCGUCGCCCGGCGAGCUCCAAGCGUCGGAGCCGCCGGACACGCACCACCGAUGCCACACGCCGGAGCGCCAGCCACCACCACAGAACAUGCACGUCCACGCCCUGGCCAACACCACCGGAAGCCCCACCACCCCACCGGAGCAGCACAGCCACCAGCGGCACCACCACCACCUUAGCAGGGCCGCCAACCGUCCCCGCCGCCGCCAUCCGCCAGCACCAACCAGAUCUAGGAAGAGACACCCAGGUCCGCCGCCAGAGCAACCUGACUCCCUGGAGCCCCACAAGCCGUCGCUGGAGGGGAGAGGGGGGGCACUCCUGCGGGCCACCACGACGCCGGGGAGGGGGGCGGAGCAGAGGAAGGCCGCCGCCCGACGCCGACACCGACGGACAAGAGGGGGCGCCCCGCGACGCCGGCCACCUGCACGCGGGAGGAGAUGCCGCCGCCGCUUGCGCCACGCGGCCUUUGGCCGGCGACACCACCGGCGGCGGCUAGGGAGGAGAGGCCGAGGCGAGGUGCCGGGGCGGCGGCGCUAGGGUUGCCGCCCGGAGUCGCCGGGAGUGACUCGGGGGCGGGCGUUUUUCUGACUGCACUUGGAAUCGUACCUGUCCCCAGAGCUUCUAAGUGUACAUAACUACACAUGACAAAAUUGAUUGCUCAACCGUUCCUUUCACGAUCUAAAAUAUCAACAGUGCAAGCGAACUACGAAGUGAGAUACUAUUUAAAGAUAAACAAGGAUGCUGCAUGCACAAUAUAAAUGUAUUUGCAGAUCAAGUUUUAAGACGGCAAAUGCCCAUGUAAAUGAUCAAGUUCAUACCUGCAGAGUGAAAAUGAAGCUAUAUUGUGUGCUUUACUCCCAGGUUAGAGGUAACAUUAUGUUCAAGCAGCUUCAGGUUUGCAGCAAUCAGAUCCACAGGAAGAUCAACCUUCUGCGCAAUAGCACAAACUGUUAAAUCAGUAGCCAUAUGUUAAUUUUGUCUUGUAAGUCUAUUUCAGUAUUGAAAAGAUGAACGUUUGUUGAAGGAAGCAAAAUAUGUUACAAUUAUGUUUCCAGUGAUCUUGUUGCACAAGGCAAAGCCCAUCCUUCACCGUGUCCAUACAAUCUAGUACAAUAUACAUCUUGUGUGACUAUACUAACUUUUCUUUUCAAGGAAAUAAAAAUCAUGUGUUCAGGUACUGGUUCGUGUAGCUAGUUCAAGUGUUUACAUUUCUUAGGCUAUGCAAGUAAUCUUGUUUCCAACAUAGCACUAACUAAUUCCUUGUUCUGCAGUUACAACAUCAAUAUAUUUUACGGAACUACCAAGCAGGCAGGGAUGCUGCUGCACAAUUCACUGCUCUGCAAUUGGAUUCAUUAAUGGCCUAGCUGAUUUUUAUUUCCCUUUUCGAUAGUCUUCUCUUAAUGAUGAUUCAUUGUAUCUCUUUCCUGAGAUGCAAUUCAUAUGAUGGGUAUAUAAGUCAGGCAC